GAUGAACGCUGGCGGCGUGCCUAAUACAUGCAAGUCGAGCGAACAGACGAGGAGCUUGCUCCUUUGACGUUAGCGGCGGACGGGUGAGUAACACGUGGAUAACCUACCUAUAAGACUGGGAUAACUUCGGGAAACCGGAGCUAAUACCGGAUAACAUGUUGAACCGCAUGGUUCAACAGUGAAAGACGGUUUUGCUGUCACUUAUAGAUGGAUCCGCGCCGCAUUAGCUAGUUGGUAAGGUAACGGCUUACCAAGGCAACGAUGCGUAGCCGACCUGAGAGGGUGAUCGGCCACACUGGAACUGAGACACGGUCCAGACUCCUACGGGAGGCAGCAGUAGGGAAUCUUCCGCAAUGGGCGAAAGCCUGACGGAGCAACGCCGCGUGAGUGAAGAAGGUCUUCGGAUCGUAAAACUCUGUUAAUAGGGAAGAACAAAUGUGUAAGUAACUAUGCACGUCUUGACGGUACCUAAUCAGAAAGCCACGGCUAACUACGUG
rnacentral:rRNA from 1 species